GGAUGCUCAGUACGGCGAGUGAGCGGCAACAGCUCAAAUUUGAAAUCUGGCCGCAAGGUCCGAGUUGUAAUUUGCAGAGGAUGCUUUUGGCGAGGUGCCUUCCGAGUUCCCUGGAACGGGACGCCAUAGAGGGUGAGAGCCCCGUACGGUUGGACCACCGAGCCUCUGUAAAGCUCCUUCGACGAGUCGAGUAGUUUGGGAAUGCUGCUCUAAAUGGGAGGUGUACGUCUUCUAAAGCUAAAUACCGGCCAGAGACCGAUAGCGCACAAGUAGAGUGAUCGAAAGAUGAAAAGCACUUUGAAAAGAGGGUUAAAAAGUACGUGAAAUUGUUGAAAGGGAAGCGUUUAUGACCAGACUUGGGCUUGGUUGAACAUCCGGCGUUCUCGCCGGUGCACUCUGCCAGUCCAGGCCAGCAUCAGUUUGUCCCGGGGGAUAAAGGCGGUGGGAAUGUGGCUCCCCCGGGAGUGUUAUAGCCCGCCGUGCAAUGCCCUGGGACGGACUGAGGAACGCGCUUCGGCACGGAUGCUGGCGUAAUGGUCAUCAACGACCCGUCUUGACCCGGGACCA
rnacentral:rRNA from 1 species